ACUAGUGGGUGGGUAUGACUCAGAAUGCAGACAGACUGGUUUCCCCUCCCAUAUGGGGAGUGGUGUACUCUAUAAAGAGCCAAACAAUGACGCUGCACUUUAUUCAACACUUCCUGCCUGGAGGUUUGCGGACCUGCGUCGACCUACAGCCGUCAAAACAGCCGUCAAAACAGCUGUGCCACCAUGGCUACAGUUCAGGUCGAAUACUGUAGUGGAUGAGGUUACUCCUACCGCUACAAGCAACUAGCCGAAGUAGUUCGGCAGGUUCCUGGUGUGAAGGAGGUGACUGGGCGGGUCGGGAGGUCACAAAGCUUUGAGGUGUCUGUGAACGGCCAGCUGAUCUACUCCAAGCUCAAGACGGGAAGUAUUCCAUCAAAGGAUGAGGUGGUGGAAUUGAUCAAGAAGUUCUUCGCUGGAGGUUAAAACACCAUCUGUAUUCACAAUGCAAGAUCAAUGGUUUGGUUUCUUUAUGGCUAAAUUCUCUCAAAACUGCUUAUCUGAAAACAAAAGGGAAUUCAAAUAUUAAAAAAAGACAACAAAACAAAAUAUAAUUUGGGACCAAAAUGAAAACAAAGUCACAAUGACAAUACAUUUAAACCGUCAGCCAUGAGGCGGUCAGACCAUUUAUCUUCACUGUGAAUACAGACAAAGGAUGAGAAGAGCAACUCUGAAGAUCCCGGCGUUGAUCUUCACUUCUGUUUAUGAAUGAACACAUGAAAAAUAAUGCCGUGUGCUCACGAUGCAAGUCUAGAAGUUUUUCAGCUGCCGGGAGCCUGAGGAACUGCUCUCUUACACAAACAACACACACAUACUUACUCAGGAUUUAAACAUUUAAAACAAACAUGUGGUUAUCAAGCCACACAUGGUAUAAAUAUGAGGGAAAUAUUUGCCCAUGAGUUUGCCAAAUGAGACGAUUGCUACCACUUUUAUGUUUGUAUGUAAAUAUGAAGCUACUUAGCUUAGCAUAACGUCUGGAACCAGGGGGAUACACGUAGGCUGGCUCUUUCCUGUCAUUCAAAUCUGCCUGCCAGCCCUUCUGAAGCUCACCAAUUAACAUCUGUUUUGUUUGAUCCGUACAAAAACCAGAGUGUAAAAACACCAAUUUGCUGUUUGACUGGGGGUUAUGUGCCGGACUGUUUCAUGGCCUGGCCCCGUAGCAGAGAGUUACGGGUCCAUGCCAUGAAACAGUCCGGCACACCACCUUGUGAAAUAGUGAAUUGUCAUUUCUACACUUUUGGUUUUUGUCUGGAUCCAACAAGGCACACUGCAACAUGUUUAGUGAUAUGAGCUUUAGAGUUCUGGUAGGCUUGGCUACGUCUGAACAAAGCCAGGCCAGCUGUUUCACCCUGUUUUGUUUGAUCCGUACAAAAACCAGAGUGUAAAAACACCAAUUUGCUGUUUGACUGGGGGUUAUGUGCCGGACUGUUUCAUGGCCUGGCCCCGUAGCAGAGAGUUACGGGUCCAUGCCAUGAAACAGUCCGGCACACCACCUUGUGAAAUAGUGAAUUGUCAUUUCUACACUUUUGGUUUUUGUCUGGAUCCAACAAGGCACACUGCAACAUGUUUAGUGAUGUGAGCUUUAGAGUUCUGGUAGGCUUGGCUACGUCUGAACAAAGCCAGGCCAGCUGUUUCACCCUGUUUUGUUUGAUCCGUACAAAAACCAGAGUGUAAAAACACCAAUUUGCUGUUUGACUGGGGGUUAUGUGCCGGACUGUUUCAUGGCCUGGCCCCGUAGCAGAGAGUUACUGGUCCAUGCCAUGAAACAGUCCGGCACACAACCUUGUGAAAUAGUGAAUUGUCAUUUCUACACUUUUGGUUUUGGUCUGGAUCCAACAAGGCACACUGCAACAUGUUUAGUGAUAUGAGCUUUAGAGUUCUGGUAGGCUUGGCUACGUCUGAACAAAGCCAGGCCAGAUGUUUCACCCUGUUUUGUUUGAUCCGUACAAAAACCAGAGUGUAAAAACACCAAUUUGCUGUUUGACUGGGGGUUAUGUGCCGGACUGUUUCAUGGCCUGGCCCCGUAGCAGAGAGUUACGGGUCCAUGCCAUGAAACAGUCCGGCACACAACCUUGUGAAAUAGUGAAUUGUCAUUUCUACACUUUUGGUUUUGGUCUGGAUCCAACAAGGCACACUGCAACAUGUUUAGUGAUAUGAGCUUUAGAGUUCUGGUAGGCUUGGCUACGUCUGAACAAAGCCAGGCCAGAUGUUUCACCCUGUUUUGUUUGAUCCGUACAAAAACCAGAGUGUAAAAACACCAAUUUGCUGUUUGACUGGGGGUUAUGUGCCGGACUGUUUCAUGGCCUGGCCCCGUAGCAGAGAGUUACGGGUCCAUGCCAUGAAACAGUCCGGCACACAACCUUGUGAAAUAGUGAAUUGUCAUUUCUACACUUUUGGUUUUUGUCUGGAUCCAACAAGGCACACUGCAACAUGUUUAGUGAUAUGAGCUUUAGAGUUCUGGUAGGCUUGGCUACGUCUGAACAAAGCCAGGCCAGAUGUUUCACCCUGUUUUGUUUGAUCCGUACAAAAACCAGAGUGUAAAAACACCAAUUUGCUGUUUGACUGGGGGUUAUGUGCCGGACUGUUUCAUGGCCUGGCCCCGUAGCAGAGAGUUACGGGUCCAUGCCAUGAAACAGUCCGGCACACAACCUUGUGAAAUAGUGAAUUGUCAUUUCUACACUUUUGGUUUUUGUCUGGAUCCAACAAGGCACACUGCAACAUGUUUAGUGAUGUGAGCUUUAGAGUUCUGGUAGGCUUGGCUACGUCUGAACAAAGCCAGGCCAGCUGUUUCACCCUGUUUCCUGUAUUCAUGCUAAACUAAGCUAAACUGCUACUGGUUGUAGCCAUAUAGUUACCAUUCAGAUGUGAGAGUGGUAUCAAUCUUCUCAUUUAACUCUCUGCAAGAAUUUAUUGAAAAAAGCCAAAAUAUUCUUGAAAAAAAGGUCAGUCGUUUUUUGUUGAUUAUCACAUAAUCUGAUAUACUUAAUGAAUACAUAUUCUUAUUUUCAAAUUUGCUAAAUACGAUGUAUUUUAAACAAAUUAAAUCUGCCAUUUGUUGUUAGGGUAGCAAUUUUGUUCAUUUAGCAAGAAUGACUCCAACAUUUAUUUCAACAUUUGAAACAAUUUUAUGUUUUUUGAAUGCUUUUGAUAUCUCAUUUGUAACCACUUCAAACCAAACAAAUGUUCCUGAAAUGCAAAAAAGUAUCACUGCAAACAACCAA